rnacentral:lncRNA from 1 species
GUUAUGUUGUCGGAUCGUUGGUGUUAAUUAUUAAUUUCAACGGUUCUGGUUGCUAAAAAUACGUAACUAAUGUAUUUAAAACGUAUAAAUACAGUGCUAACGGGUUUCGAUUGUGACCCAACUCAACUAACCUCAUACCACUUCGAUUAUAACUCGGCCCAAUCCAGCCUCACAUCAUUCCGAGUGUGAUUCGAUUUAACCCGGCUUCUUGCCACAAACCAGCAUGCUGAUUUAUUUAA